rnacentral:lncRNA from 1 species
UUUCUUUGUGUAGACGUGAGUGAGAAGGGAGAAAAGAAAGAACGGGAGUGGAGAAGAAGGGAGCAUCGAAAGUGAAGGUUGGGAGGAGGCUACGAGAUCUUCAUCAAGGGAGAAACAUUCAUCAUUCCUAAGUAAGUCAUGCAAUCUUAUUUUCCUUCUUUCUCCUCUACCUUUAAACGAAAUCUUCACCACCACCACCAUCGCCAAGCUGGUGGCAGUCACUGCCAGCCACCACUGCCACUAUGGCAAUGGGUAGUGAUGCUCCAAGGUGUUUUGAGGGCUAAGUGGUGACAUGGGUUGUUUUGGUCCCAAACCUUAAACCCUAGUUGGUAUUCUUCCCAUGAGGACAUUGUAAUUAUUUUGAUGUUUUAUACAAGAAAUCUCAAGAAAAGGGGUUGAGAUUUUCAUUGAAUUCUAUAUCAAUGAAGUAAUCUACUGUUAUGAACUCAUUUUACUGAUUAUAAGCCUCAUUGGAUAGGUCUUAAUGGGUUAAGAGGUCAAAUUAACCCUAAAUAGACAAAGCUGUGAUUUCAGGAUUUUACCCUAAUCUGUACAUAUCUUUGAGAGAUGAUAUCUCGAUCAUGCGAAAACCUUUUUAGUCGAAACCAAAAGCCAAAGUUUCGUUUUUGAGUCCUAUACAUUUCAUUAGUUUUGACCAAAGGCUAGAAAUACCCCUAACUAGGGUGAAAUCGACCAUUUACCCAGACUGGUCCGUAAUGAACUGUUUUGCGAGACAGUUUUGUAAAAAUUGUAAAAAAUUGUAGAAAAAUCGUACAGCAGUGUGAAAAUACUACUUUUAAAGCUAAUGACCUGUUCUUAAUGUAUAUAAAACAGUUUUGAAAAAUAAGGUGUUUAAGCGGGGUAAAACAGGUCCCGAACAAGACUAUAAUUUCUAUGUAUAAAUCUGAAAAAAGAAAAAGAAAAAUAACACUCAAGCCAUUAUACUUUUGAGAUAUCAAAGUACCAUAACUUAACUCUUUUUGGUCAUUAUUAGAAAGUUGAAGGUUAACCUGGUGUGAAGGGGUGUUUGUAUUAUUUGAAGGGUGUUUGACUAGUAAAUGUGAGAUCCUCACUUCAUAACCUUAGAGUAUUAUAUGCCUACUGUUAGGUCGAGUGAGACUAGGAUAGGAACUAUAUGGUUGAUAGUUAAACUAAUACUUGUUGCAUUAGUUACGUUUGAUGUACUUAUUUGUUAUGUUGAAUGUAUAUGCAUGAUAUGUUUGGGCUCGAUGGCGGAAUACCGAGUCGAUAUUUUGGGUCUUGACGGCCGAAUACCGAGUCGACGGACUGCAGGCCAUUGUGCCAAGUCAGGGGGACCGAAGGCGGAAACGCCACGUCUGUGGACUCGACAGCUGAAUACCAAUUCUUUAUUUGGGUGUUGUUUGGGAUUUGUUCCCAAAUAGACAAGAGAUAUAUGAUAUUAAUGUUUAUAUGUUAUAUGGAUGUUUGUAUAUUUUGUUGGUGGCAUGAUAAGUAGGAGUAGGGUGUAAUAUUUCUAAUGUUAUGUUGUGUUGGAAGGCACUAAGCUUUGUACUUACCCUUUUAUUCUAUAAAUGAUUAUUACAGGUACAUCGGGUACCAACAAGGGUAAGGGUUCGACUUAACUGUACCCUGAUGCGGUUGAAGAUUAGGUCCGUGUCAUAAAUUUUAUUACGGAUUUUAAGGCUUUUAUUAUUCUAUUAUAACCGAGUUAUAACAAAUGGUUUAUCUAAAGUAUGUCUGGAAUUACUAAGUUGGGG